rnacentral:rRNA from 1 species
UGCCAGCAGCCGCGGUAAUACGAAGGGGGCUAGCGUUGUUCGGAAUUACUGGGCGUAAAGCGCGCGUAGGCGGCUUGAUCAGUCAGAGGUGAAAUCCCGGGGCUCAACCCCGGAACUGCCUUUGAUACUGUCAAGCUAGAGCUCGGAAGAGGGUGGCGGAAUAUCCAGUGUAGAGGUGAAAUUCGUAGAUAUUGGAUAGAACACCAGUGGCGAAGGCGGCCACCUGGUCCGUAGCUGACGCUGAGGUGCGAAAGCGUGGGGAGCAAACAGGAUUAGAAACCCCCGUAGUCC